ensembl:misc_RNA Metazoa_SRP Metazoan signal recognition particle RNA
GCCAGGCAUGAUGGCAUGUUCCUGUGGCCCCAGCUACUCAGGAGGCUGAGAUAGGAGGAUUGCUUGAGCCUGGUAGGUUGAGGCUCCAAUGAGCUAUGAUCAUACCAUUGCCUUCCAGCCUUGGUGACAGAGCAAGACCCUGUCUCAAAAAGUUCUAACUUCUUGGGAGGCUGAGGCAGGAGGAUUGCUUGAGCCCAGGAGCCCGAGGUUGCAGUGAACUAUGAUAAAGUGUUGGGGUGAACCGGCCCAGGUCAGAAACGGAGCAGGUCAAAACUCCCAUGCUGAUCAGUAGUGGGAAUCAGUGCCUAUGAAUAGCCACUGCACUCCAGCCUGGGCAACAUAGCGAGAUCUU